rfam:Acinetobacter sp. ANC 3994 genomic scaffold acLZV-supercont1.9, whole genome shotgun sequence.
UGUUAUGGCGGAGCUGGAGAGGGACACUUUCGAGUGUGCAGGUUUCCUUUGUUCCCUGUCGACCAACCCUUUUCAGCUUUGCCACCCUC